AGUGAACGCUGGCGGUAGGCCUAACACAUGCAAGUCGAACGGCAGCACAGUAAGAGCUUGCUCUUACGGGUGGCGAGUGGCGGACGGGUGAGGAAUACAUCGGAAUCUACUUUUUCGUGGGGGAUAACGUAGGGAAACUUACGCUAAUACCGCAUAUGACCUACGGGUGAAAGCAGGGGAUCUUCGGACCUUGCGCGAUUGAAUGAGCCGAUGUCGGAUUAGCUAGUUGGCGGGGUAAAGGCACACCAAGGCGACGAUCCGUAGCUGGUCUGAGAGGAUGAUCAGCCACACUGGAACUGAGACACGGUCCAGACUCCUACGGGAGGCAGCAGUGGGGAAUAUUGGACAAUGGGCGCAAGCCUGAUACAGCCAUACCGCGUGGGUUAUGAAGGCCUUCGGGUUGUAAAGCCCUGUUGUUGGGAAAGAAAAGCAGCAGGUUAAUACCCCGCUGUUCUGACGGUACCCAAAGAGUAAGCACCGGCUAACUUCGUG
rnacentral:rRNA from 1 species